CUUUUACGUGAGAGAAGGAUACGCCGCUGCAAUAGACGUGUGACUCCAACGUCAUGGAUAAGUACAUCGCCGCUAUAGAAAGUCGUUGAAAGAAGCAGCAAGUUUAUUGAGUCUGGAGUGUGCCCAUCUCCAGAGCCCCUCCUGAGGUGCUACUCCCCAGUGUUUUUGAACCACUGCUCCUCAAGAGACUUCACUGGAGUGGUCUAGCACUGAUGACUCAUACCAUAUGUUAGCAUCUUACCAUCACACUCUCUCCAACAGAAAGAAAGUGAUGUGCAUCUCAGUGCAAGAUGAUAAACAGGAUGUGUGUGUCUUGUGAAGCAGUCAUAAAACAAAGGAAUUGUCACUGAAGGAU